AAGGCGGGGUCUCGACACCGCCUCUCGGCCGCGCUCGACGGGAAUCGAAACCGAAGGCACGGGCGGGGCCAGCGGCUCGGGUCGCUCUGGGGGCAGGGAUCUGCCAAGCGUGGAGGCCUUCUUGGGUGAACGUCACACGCAAGAAGUGAUUGAAAGUUCCAGUGAAAACAUACAUUUCUGCAUUAAUCCAUUCAGAAAUCUGGACUACUGGCUUGAGGAGUUUUGCAGGAACAGUAUUAACAGUAUGGAGCAGUAAAGUGAAGCACUGCAAGCAGAAAGAAACCACAAAUGCAGUCUUGGCAAGCAGGUUCUAUUCUCCACUUAAAUACAGUCAAUAAGUGUUUUGGAUCAGGCCCGAGUAAAAGCAAACAAAGAAA